UCUCAUAUCACUUGGAGGGUUUGUUAAUAAAACAAACUCUAGGAUGGACCCCACCCUAGAGUUUCUAAUUCAAUAGGGUCUAGGGUGGAGCCUGAGAAUUUGCAUUUUUAACAAGCUCCCAGGUGAUGCUGAU
rnacentral:miRNA from 1 species